rnacentral:lncRNA from 1 species
UACAGAUCUCAAAGCAAGGCUUGUUGGACAAAUAAAUGAAGAUGAGCCCAAGAGCCCAGGAGAGGGACCGGGAACAGCAGGGCCUCCGUGACUCACACAAGCUUCAUCCCUGAACCAAGGACGCAGCCUGCCAACAAUGGCCCCAAGCCACACCCCGCCACAGGGGGAACUGAUGCUGCGGUGAGAAGUGACAGCUUUCUGUUGACUCUUUUUUUUUUCAAGCAGAAUAUGAAUUGAGACAUACUUUCAUUUUCAUAAUCAGAACCUAACACUUAGUAACCAAUGUUGGUGGAAGCAAAUGAGAUCACAGUUUGUCUGUUCCAAACUCAUCUCUGGGAAAAGGAGGAGGAAAAAUUAUUGGCACUAUGUUCAGAAUCAUAGCUGAAGAUGCAGAAAUUGUUCAUCCCAAUUUUGCCUUUCUGAAGAAAGCCACCACUAAGAAAACGAAAAGAGAAGCAGCAGACCAGGAGAAAAUAUUUGCAAAACCAAAUCUGAUAACGGACUUGUAUCCAGUAUUUGCAAAGAACUUCUAAACUUAAUAACAACAACGACGACAAAGGAGCAAAAUCCCUGGUGGUCUAGCAGUGAGGAUUAAAAAAGAAAAGAAGCAAAAUAUAUGAACAGCUGUUUCUCCAAAGGAGAUAUACCAAUAGCUAAUAAAAUAUGCACAGAUGCUCCACAACAUUAGUCAUUAGGGAAAUACAGAUUAAAAUCACCAUGAGGUACUACUUCACACACACUAGAAUGACUAAUCAAAGACAGAUAAUAACAGAAGUUGGCUAGGAUGUGGAGAAACAGAACUGCUAUGGUUUUAAUGUCCCCUCUAAAACCCAUGUUGAAAUUUAAUUGCCAUUUGCAGUAUUAAGUAGUGGGACCUUUAUAAAUUACCCAGUCUGUGGUAUUCUGUUAUAGCAGCAGAAAACAAACUAAGACAAGAACCCUCAUACAUUGCAGGUGGGAAUAUAAAGUGGUGCAGCCUCUUUGGAAAACAGUUUGGAGGUUCCUCAAAAAGUUAAACAUACAAUUACCAUAUGACCCAGCAAUUCCACUCCCUAGGUAUCUACCCAAGAGAAAUGAAAACAGGUACUAUACAAACAAAGACUUGUGAGUCACUGUUCAUACAGCAUAAUCCAUAAUAGCCAAACACUGGAAACAACCUAAAUAUCCAUCCACUGAUGAAUGAAUAGGCAAAAUGUGCUCUAUCCAUGCACUGGAACACUAUUCACCAACAGAAAGGAGCAAACUGCUGACGCACGCUGCCGUAUGGAUGAACCUCAAAGGUGGGAAAGUUCAAGAAGCUAGGCACAAGGAACUGCGUAUUGUAUGAUUCCAUUUAUAUGAAAUGUCCGGAAAGGCAAAUUUAGAGAAACAGUAAACAGAUUAAUGGCUGGGUCUGAGGUGGGAACAUGAUUAUCUGUAAGUGGGCAUCAGGGAGGAAUAUUCCUGGGAACCAUGAGAAUGUUCUAGAAUUGAUCUUUAAUUAAUUUUUGUUGUUUUUGUUGUUCUUUGAG